rnacentral:misc_RNA from 1 species
GAUGCAGCUGAGUCUCUUUCUCCUCCAAAGACACUUGAAGUUGCGCAAGUUUGAAAUUAAGCUGCUUGAUGUCUCCUUUGAGGCGACUCACCAUAUUCCUUUCAGAACUAAUCUUCAUUAAUGCAGGGAUACGAGUGCCAUUAAACAUCUUGGUGAGAAAAUUUCUAAAAGAUAGAUGCAAUGCAUUGGACCACUCCUUGGAAAAGUAUACCCGGAACUUGGGUUCGGAUUGAGGAGCUUUAAUAUAUGGAAUUGCAAACCAGGAUGCCCAAUGUUGGUCUUUUUGCAGCAAUUCAGUGCCAUGUAUGUCAAACAACUCUAUGACUUUAUCCUUUCUUCCAGCUUGUAUGGCAUGAAUAAUAUAAUACCGUAUAAUAGAGAUAUCUAACUCAGAUAUGACAGAAAUAAGAUGUGUCUCGUGAGAAGAAAAGCAGUUGCUGAAAAAGCGCAGGAGUUGAAUGAGGUUUUCAGCUUGGAAUUUGGGGAUAUAAAUGGAGAAAACUAAAUCUAAUAUCUUAUCAACUUGAAAUCCUUUGCCAAUAUCAGUUCCCAACUCUUUGACAAAAGCCUGCAGAGUGUUUGUAAAGCCUCUGAAUACUAGAAACUCCUUCACAAGCUCCUCCGCAUACACCAUAUUCUCCAUCUUCAGCUUAUAUGGAUUAUUAAUUCAAAAAAAAAAUCUACGAACCAAUAACCACUGCCGAACCCUAAUUUCUCCACAAACUCGGCGCACACAUACAAGAGUUAAUAACCCAUCUUAACUAUCCACAAUUUAUCAACAUAAUACUUAAACUAGGGAUGUUCAUGUUAUAUCCCCAUAAAAACUAACAUUUCCUGUGUGAAAACCCCUGCCGCACAGUCGAGUGACCUGGAUACUGAUUUAAUCUUUUUUAGAGAAGAGAUUUAAGACAUAAAUAUUACUGCUAGCAAAAAAAGCGAUUCCACUUUGCUGAAAGGAAAACUCCGAAUCAACUAGAGAAUGAAAAGUUCAGCUAAGCUUCCUGGAUCAGAAAAGUUCAGGUCCAGAAGCCUUUUCUUUAGUUUAUAUAGGCCUGAGAUUAUGAGAAAAAUAGUGCUCCAAAUCAAUCUGCGAACCCUGAAAAUUCUGGAAUCGUACUAAUUCGAAAAGAAUUGAAUGGAGGAUCGUUUGACUCGUGAGUAAUACGAAGAAGCUGUGAAAUUGCUCCACCUGUCCCGAUUCGAGAAUCUUCUGGUACGGAGAGGGUAGGGGAUAGAGGGAGAAGACGACGCAGCUGCAAAGUCACUGGGUUCCGGUCGCACCUGGGUUCAUUCGUGUCUGAUUUGCUUUGCGAAGGAGGAGACAGA